GCCCUCAGUUGCGGCGAGUGAAGCGGCAAAGCUCACAUUUGAAAUCUGGCGUCUUUGGCGUCCGAGAAUGUAAUUUGAAGAAGGUAUCUUUGGGCCCGGCUCUUGUCUAUGUUCCUUGGAACAGGACGUCACAGAGGGUGAGAAUCCCGUGCGAUGAGAUGACCCGGGUCUGUGUAAAGUUCCUUCGACGAGUCGAGUUGUUUGGGAAUGCAGCUCUAAGUGGGUGGUAAAUUCCAUCUAAAGCUAAAUAUUGGCGAGAGACCGAUAGCGAACAAGUACAGUGAUGGAAAGAUGAAAAGAACUUUGAAAAGAGAGUGAAAAAGUACGUGAAAUUGUUGAAAGGGAAGGGCUUGAGAUCAGACUUGGUAUUUUGCAUGUUGCUCUCUCGGGGGCGGCCGCUGCGGUUUACCGG
rnacentral:rRNA from 1 species